CAGCUUCUAUUUCAGCAAGGAGACCGUCUAAGAGGCAUCACAGGUUACCCUCCAGAGCUCCUGCUUCUUAACUUGGAGAGCUGCUGAGGACUCUAAAUGACAUUUCUGCAGGGCCCGGUUACAUAAGCGUGCUUUCCGUCUCCCCACUCAAGCCUUCCCACGCGACACCUGAAGUCACAGAGCUGUUCCCCUGGUCAAGGUUAAUCUCUCCCGUGCCUUCGAUCGAAGCCUUUCUUCUCACUCAUAUUUCCAGCGUUUCUUCUUUCUAUUGCUUUCUUCUCGGCCAAAAGGCAGGCCUACAUUUCCUCAUCUUAAAUAAUGGGUGUCCUUUAACCUCCAAGAUCCUUGAAGGACCGUUCCUCGGGCCUUUCUCCUCCCAUCCUCUCCCCGCCCCCUUUGAGACGUUCAUCCAUUUCACUGUGGGCGGAAAUGAUGCCUUUACGUCGUUGUGAGCUGCGUGAGCUUCCGACUCUCUUGCGCAGCUCUUCAGAGAAAGGUGAGAGACUCAACCCAUGCUUACUAAAUACGGCGGGACUGAAAUAGCGGCACCUGGGGGAUUGGGAACGAACGCUCCCACAGCCGAGGAAGUGAAGGCAGAAGAAUCCAGGUCUGGGGGUUUUGACUCACAGAAGAUCCAAGUUUGUAACCAAUUUCACAAAGCAGUCACCCUGACUCAGAGUCUGCUCCUUUUAGAGGAGAGUGUGGUAGGAAGCAGCUGGAAAUUUGCCCAGGAAUCCUCAGAAGCUCUGGUCUAAGACACCUCACAUCAGCACUACUGACCUCGGAAGGUUUGCUGAAGUAGUUCUCCCUUCUAAAUAGAGGGGUAUCUUGAAGCAAAUAGGCAAAAUAAUCAAAGAAAACAGAACCUCUCCCCCAACACACAACCUCCCCCACCAAAACCAAGCCAGGGUGGGUAGUCCUGGCAGGUUGUUUAUCUGAAACACCGGGCUAACAGAGUACCUGGGGGAGGACUGCGCUUUUACAAAUUUCCCUUUCCGUUUUUGUUCCAAAAUAAACACCUGGGCAUUUCAAAAUCUCCUUUGACAAGGCAUUUCAAAGCUCACACCGUAAGCUGUGUGUUUUCAUUUUGAGAUUAAUUUCCUUUCAUUUUUAUGGACGGGGAAAUAAUUAUUUUAUUUUAUUCACUCACAGAACGUAUCCUGACUCAUGACCUACCUGCCCUAAGUGCUGCAGACAUUAGCACCCUUUGGCUUAGAGGACAAAGAAGGAACAGCCUCAGGGUGAUUCACACAGACUGGGAAAGAGUUCAGCUGGGGAGGGAAAAGCUAAUUACUUCAUCUUAUUUAAAUGUUCUGGCCUUUCCGGGGACCCCCACUCUGAACCGGGCAUUGUACUCGGUGGUGGUGACAGAGACUCUAAGUUAAAACAGAGAUUCCUGCGAGGCAGCUGUUUCCUCUCACAGGACCUUGUUCUACAGGCCUCUCCUCACCCAGCAGCAAAGCCCAUUGCAGAAGGGAAGGGCGAAGCCGGGCUCAGUUAGAACACAGCCCCAGAGGCAACCGGUUGCCUUCUGCUGGUUCAACCGCUGGAUGUGGAUUUCGCAGACUAGACCGUCAGGGGAGCAGCAGUCCGCUGAAACCAGGUCUCAUUCUCUGGCCCUUGGCUUCUCCCUCUGUUGACUGCCACCCUCAACUGUCCUCCUGAUUCUCUGGGUUUUAUCCUGCCAUUUGAGCCCCAGGGUUGAACCUAGACUUUUAAGAAAAUUCCAACUAAGAGAAAACAAAAUACCGCGCACUGUUAACCGAGAUUUCUGAAGAACUCUGGGUGAGAGGACGGUGAUUGGAAGGCUCUCGGCAUUCUUUGAGGAGAGGCAGCCCACAAAAUGUGUCUUUCGCCACACUGUUCCAAGGGAAUAUUUUUCUUGCUACUCACUGCAACAGCUGGUCAGGAAUUUCCCUAUUAGAGUGAAAGAAUUUGGCAAGAAAAAUCCAGACUCUUCCCCUGCUACCCCCCCACCGUGUAAGUCAGCUGUGCCACCGGACAGGCAGGGAGUUCUGGUAAGGAAACAACAAAAGAAGAGUUACUGGCCCGGGUCCUCACGCCUCUGCUCUCCCAAGACGAUCACAUUCCAUUCUGGUAUAUAAUGCAGCUGAGGGAGGCCAGAUUGGUUAAGUAGGAGGCUUUGCUGAGCGUUCUUCGUUCCUGGCACUGUGUAGGUGAUGAGAAUUAUAGGGAGAAAAAAAUGGGCAAAGACUUGUGGACGCUGCCUUAGUCGAUGGAUGGCACCGGGAAGGGAAAGGAAGAGGCAAAACAUUAAUAGUCCUGCAGCUGCUCAAGAGCCAGUGCACAUCUGGACCAGCACAGUGGCACCUCGUGCAAUAGAGCUAAAAGAUGAGCCGGGAGACUUUAAUGAAAGAAGAAAUCCAGACAGAGAGCAGCCUGGCAUCAAAAAGAAGAAAAUACUGAUCAGGACCAAAGAAAUUCAAGUCCUGUAGGCUGAGAACACGGGACGUCAUUGAAAGAAUAUCUAAGUAAAGCGGCCAGUGUCUGUGAACUAGAAGAUUCAAGAUGCAUUACCUGGAGACCAUGCAUCCAACAACCCCUUUCAACACCCACAUUAGUUCUUUCGGAAACUGACAAGUUGACCUCCAAAUGCACGUGGAUACACACAGGACAUAGCCACAGUUAUCUUGAAAUGAAGACGUACUUCCCAAUUUCAGAUCUUAGCAGGAAGCUGUAGGAAACAAGACACUCUGCUAUCGGCGGGAGGGUGAACGCACAGAUCAUGAGACAGCACUGACUCUAGAAAUAGACACCGCCACUCUAACUGGUAAUGGAGUUUUGGGUGAGGGUGCCAAGACAGUUAAAGAAUAGAUUUCCAACAAUUGUGUCAACAUACCUGGCUAAUCACAUGCAAGAGACAGAAGCUCACACCAUGUGCAAGAAACAUCUCAAAAUAUACAGAGCUGCUCUAAAUGCAAGUGCCAAGGCUUUCAGAAGAGAAAUGUGAAGGCAAAGCUUGGUCUCCGGUCAGGCAAUGGUUUCUAAGCUGUGACGAGGACACAGACAAAAGACAGAAGCAGAAGAUUGAGCGUCAUCAGAAAUCUGUGCUUCCAAGUACACAGUCAAAAACGUGGGGGGGGGGGUAUUCUACAAAAUGGGAGAGAAUAUUACCAGACAGGAAAGCAGCUCAGAGACAAGGUAGAAGUUCAGAUUAAAUCCAACAAUUAGAGAAAAAAUGAAGUGUGCAAAGCUCACAAGCAGAGACAAACAGACUCACUCUUCAUUCUUUGUAAGAGCUAACUCAAAGUGCAGCAGCAACCUAAAACACAAAGGCCAUAAAUAUAAAACUCCUGGCUGACAACAGAAAAUCUAGAUGACCUUGGCUGUGCCGAUGACUAUUUAGAUCAAAGGCAUGACCUAAGAAAGAUGUAACUGAUACACUGGAUUCCACAGAGAUUAACACUUUUGCUCCGUGAAACGCACUGCCAAAGGAUGAGAAGAUGAGCCACAAGCCGAAGGAAAGUGUUUACAGAAGAUGUUGCUGUACCUGCUAGAAGAUUCACCCAGAAUAUACCAGGAACUCUUACAACACAGCAAUAAGAAAUGAACAGCGGCGGCUUAAAAAAUGGGCAAAGAGAUGAGCAGACACCCCGCCAGAGAAGACGCAAAUGACAGUUGAAAGAUAUUUGAUCUCACACCCCAUGGAGGAACUGUCAAUUAAAGCAACAGUGAUACCCCAUGGAAUACUUAGACUGGCCAAGAUCCAAAAUGACAGAAAAUGCUGAAGAGGAAAAACAAAAUGCUGAAGAGGAUUUGAAGCCCUGGGAACUCUCCUGGCUGUGGGCUGGGGGUAGGUGUUGGAGUACAAAAUGCAGCCACAUUGGAAGUCAGUUCCAUGGUUUCCCCCAAACGUAAACACAGCCUUAUCAUGUACCCAGUGAGCAUAGUCCUCACUGUUCAUCCACAUGAACUUGAGAACAAGUCUGCACAAAAACUUGAAUGCUAUUUUUAGCAAAGGGACCCUCCAGCAGAGCUAUGCAAAGGCCCAGCGAGUCUUGGUAUGGUGUUCAACGUCAUUUAUUCCAGUGGAAAUACAAAUCUAAAUCACAAUGAGCUACCACUCUGCAUCCAUCACGUCGCCUGAAAUCAAAAGCCAGAGAAUCAUUAAAGUUGACAAGGACGGGGAGAAACUGGAGCCCUCGUAUUCUGCUGGUGAGACUGUCAAGCAGCCACUGUGAAAAACAGACCGGCAGUUCCUCAACAAAACAAAACACAGAGUUUCUGUAGAACCUAGCAAUUCCAUCCCAAGAUAAUUGAAAGCAUAUGUCCACACAAAGAUGUGUCUACAAAUGUUCAGAGCUACACUAAGAAAAUAGUGGAAACAGCCUAGACAUCUGUCACGUGAGUAGGUAAGAUAAGGCUAUGUGUAUUUACACAACGGGAAUUUAUUCGGCCAUAACAGAAUGAAAUGCUGGUCCUUGCUAUAGCACAGAUGACCCUGAGUCGUUUAACAGAAUGAAAGAAGCCAGUCACCAAGGACACAAGGUCAGAACAGCAGAUCUGCAGACUGAGCAGGCAGCAGCUUGGGGAAGGGGUUAUGGACAUUUAUGGUCAGGGUUGCUCAACAGGUCGGUGCUUCAUUUUGAUGCUGUGUGUGGCUGCCCUCGUCUGUGAGUAUACUAACACCACUGCAUUCUUGGAUGUUUAAAGGGGUGGACUUAAAGUAAGCAAAGAACAUUUCAAUAAGCUAUUAUUUAAAAAAAAAAAAACUAGCAACCACAAAUGGAGCUA